UUAGGAAUAUUCGUCAAUGGGGGACACCCUGAACGAUCUAUGCCGCGUGAGUGAUGACAGCCCUUUGGGUUGUAAAACUCUGUUGUUUGGGAAUAACAGAGAGAAUAGGAAAUGAUUCUCUUUUGACGGUACCAUUCAAGAAAGCUCCGGCUAACUACGUGCCAGCAGCCGCGGUGGUACGUAGGGAGCGAGCGUUAUCCGGAUUUAUUGGGCGUAAAGCGUGCGCAGCUGGCUUAUUAAGUAUGAAAUUAAAGCCCGAAGCUUAACUUCGGUUCGUUUCAUAAACUGGUAGGCUUGAGUGUGGUAGAGGUAAGUGGAUUUUCUAGUGUAGCGGUAAAAUGCGUAGAUAUUAGAAGGAACAUCAGUGGCGAAGGCGACUUACUGGGCCAUUACUGACAGUCAUGCACGAAAGCGUGGGGAGCAAAUA
rnacentral:rRNA from 1 species